rnacentral:rRNA from 1 species
UACGUAGGAUGCAAGCGUUGUCCGGAAUUAUUGGGCGUAAAGAGCGCGCAGGCGGUCUGCUAAGUUUGGAGUGACAGUUGGUGGCUUAACUGCCAAAGUGCUUCGAAAACUGACAGACUUGAGGGCUUCAGAGGGACACGGAAUUCCGCGUGUAGCAGUGAAAUGCGUAGAUAUGCGGAGGAACACCGAUGGCGAAGGCAAUCCCCUGGACCUGUACUGACGCUCAUGCACGAAAGCGUGGGGAGCAAACAGG